GCUGCAGAGCUGAGGUGGGGCGGCAGCACAGCCUGACUCAGCAAAGGCUCCCGGUGCUGGAAUCCACCCCAGCACAGGCGAGCGGAGCCCGGGGCUGCUCCCAAAGCCAAACGCGCUCUGCAGAAUCAGCCCCGCGCUAGGAAAAGAGGAUUUCUGAGCUGGGGUGCGUGUCUGACACCGGGAGAGGCUGGUGCACAGCGACGGACUCUCUGUCUCUAAAUAAUGGAGAGAUUAAGCUCCACCUUGGGAUCUGCUGAUUGCAGUGGGGAAAAAUGGAUCCAGCUCAUGCAGAAUAAUGACAGGAAGGGGAAUGGGGUGUUGGUGAUGACACAAGGAGAGAGGAGAAAUAAAUUGCACUGGGACAGUGUGGACAGGAGUGCCUGUUUGGUCUGGAAAGAAUUGGAAGAAGAAAAGAAGUGAAUUGCUGCGGUACAUUAAUUGUACAAGAACUGCAAAAUGGCUGAAAACAGAGGGAUGAUAUUUAUAAAGCUGUCUAGUUUUGAAAAGAUCAAAGGCAGAGGUAGAGAAAUAAUCCAUUGGACGUGUCUAAUUGCAAAGCGUAUAUUGGGAGGAA